rnacentral:rRNA from 1 species
AGAACUUAGCAUAGCCAUGCUUGUGAUGCCUUCGGGAACUCUGAGACACGGUGCUGCNUGGCUGUCGUCAGCUCGUGUUGUGAAAUGUUGGGUUAAGUCCCGCAACGANCGCCAACCUUAUUCCCUUNGUUGCCAGCGGUCCGGCCGGGAACUCAAAGGAGACUGCCAGUGAUAAACUGGAGGAAGGUGGGGAUGACGUCAAGUCAUCAUGGCCCUUACGAGUAGGGCUACACACGUGCUACAAUGGCGCAUACAAAGAGAAGCGACCUCGCGAGAGCAAGCGGACCUCAUAAAGUGCGUCGUAUCCGGAUUGGAGUCUGCAACUCGACUCCAUGAAGUCGGAAUCGCUAGUAAUCGUAGAUCAGAAUGCUACGGUAAUACGUUUCCCGGGG